rnacentral:rRNA from 1 species
AGGAUUAACGCUGGCGGCGUGCCUAACACAUGCAAGUCGAACGAGGUAGCAAUACCUAGUGGCAGACGGGUGAGUAGCGCGUGGUCAACCUACCGUUGAGUGGGGGAUAACUAGCCGAAAGGUUAGCUAAAUACCGCAUACGUCUCCGAGGGGCAUCCCUUGGUGAUAAAAGGAGCAAUCCGCUCGAUGACGGGACCGCGUCCCAUUAGCUAGUUGGUGGGGUAACGGCCUACCAAGGCAUCGAUGGGUAGCUGGUUUGAGAGAGCGACCAGCCCACACUGGGACUGAGAUACGGCCCAGACUCCUACGGGAGGCAGCAGUGAGGAAUUUUCCGCAAUGGGCGAAAGCCUGACGGAGCGACGCCGCGUGUGGGAAGAAGGCCUUCGGGUCGUAACCACUGUCGAAGGGGAAGAUAAUGACGGUACCCUUGGAGGAAGCCCCGGCUAACGUCGUGCCAGCAGCCGC